GACGAACGCUGGCGGCGUGCUUAACACAUGCAAGUCGAACGGAAAGGCCUCUUUCGGGGGGUACUCGCGUGGCGAACGGGUGAGUAACACGUGAGUAUCCUGCCCUUGACUUUGGGAUAACUUCAGGAAACUGGGGCUAAUACCGCAUAGGAGCUCCUGCUGCAUGGUGGGGGUUGUAGAGUUUCGGCGGGUGGGGGUGGACUCGCGGCGUAUCUGCUUGUUGGUGGGGUAUUGGGGUACCAAGGCUUUGACGGGUAGGCGGCCCGAGAGGGUGACCGGGCACAUUGGGAACGGGGUUCCGGCCAGAAUCCUACGGGGAGCCGGAGUGGGGAAUAAUGCACCAUGGGUCGGAGCCUGAUUCAGGCAAGGCCGGGGCGGGGAUACGGGCCUCCGGUUGUAAACCGGUUUCGCUCAGGAAGAAGCUGUGUGUGACGGUAGUGGGUAAAGAAGCACCGGCUAACUACGUG
rnacentral:rRNA from 1 species